AACUUUCGGCAACGGAUCACUUGGCUCUCGCAACGAUGAAGAACGCAGCGAAAUGCGAUACGUAGUGUGAAUUGCAGAAUUCAGUGAAUCAUCGAAUCUUUGAACGCACAUUGCGCUCCCUGGCAUUCCGGGGAGCAUGCCCGUUUCAGAAUCAUUAAAAAUCUCACAACCCUGAUGGCCUUUGGGGGAUCAUCAGGCAAGUGAAUUUGGAUGUUUUGCUUUUGCAAUCGUCUCAAAUUGAUUGUAUGUGCACCAAUCGAGCAUCGAUUGGUUUCCUAAGUGCAACAGAUUUAUCUAUUCGCUGUGGAAGCCUGUCUUGAAGCUCUUGGAGCGCGUGCUCAACCUCUUAACGAGAGUUGCAUUCUCAGAGUGCGGUUCUUGAUAACUUGGUCUGAAAUCGGGCAAGAAAACCCGCUGAACUUAAGCAUAUCAAUAAGCGGAGGCU
rnacentral:misc_RNA from 1 species